CUAGUAAUCGCGGAUCAGAAUGCCGCGGUGAAUACGUUCCCGGGUCUUGUACACACCGCCCGUCACACCAUGGGAGUCGGAAAUGCCCGAAGUCUGUGACCUAACCGCAAGGGAGGAGCAGCCGAAGGCAGGUCGGAUGACUGGGGUGAAGUCGUAACAAGGUAGC
rnacentral:rRNA from 1 species